rnacentral:rRNA from 1 species
UACAGAGGUCUCAAGCGUUGUUCGGAUUCAUUGGGCGUAAAGGGUGCGUAGGUGGCGAUGUAAGUCGGGUGUGAAAUUUCGGAGCUUAACUCCGAAACUGCAUUCGAUACUGCGGUGCUUGAGGACUGGAGAGGAGACUGGAAUUCAUGGUGUAGCAGUGAAAUGCGUAGAGAUCAUGAGGAAGACCAGUGGCGAAGGCGGGUCUCUGGACAGUUCCUGACACUGAGGCACGAAGGCCAGGGGAGCAAACGGG